CGCGAAGAACCUUACCUGGUCUUGACAUCCACAGAACAUUCCAGGGAUGGGAUGGUGCCUUCGGGAACUGUGAGACAGGUGCUGCAUGGCUGUCGUCAGCUCGUGUUGUGAAAUGUUGGGUUAAGUCCCGCAACGAGCGCAACCCUUAUCCUUUGUUGCCAGCGGUCCGGCCGGGAACUCAAAGGAGACUGCCAGUGAUAAACUGGAGGAAGGUGGGGAUGACGUCAAGUCAUCAUGGCCCUUACGACCAGGGCUACACACGUGCUACAAUGGCGCAUACAAAGAGAAGCGACCUCGCGAGAGCAAGCGGACCUCAUAAAGUGCGUCGUAGUCCGGAUUGGAGUCUGCAACUCGACUCCAUGAAGUCGGAAUCGCUAGUAAUCGUGGAUCAGAAUGCCACGGUGAAUACGUUCCCGGGUCUUGUACACACC
rnacentral:rRNA from 1 species